rnacentral:rRNA from 1 species
UACGGAGGAUCCAAGCGUUAUCCGGAUUUAUUGGGUUUAAAGGGUGCGUAGGCGGAAUGGUAAGUCAGUGGUGAAAUCCUAUAGCUUAACUGUAGAAUUGCCAUUGAUACUGCCAAUCUUGAGUACAUUUGAAGUGGGCGGAAUGUGUCAUGUAGCGGUGAAAUGCUUAGAUAUGACACAGAACACCGAUUGCGAAGGCAGCUCACUAAACUGUUACUGACGCUGAGGCACGAAAGCGUGGGGAUCAAACAGG